CGUAGGCAGCAAGCGUUGUUCGGAGUUACUGGGCGUAAAGGGUGUGUAGGCGGCUCUCUAAGUUCGGUGUGAAAUCUCCCGGCUCAACCGGGAGGGUGCGCCGGAAACUGGCGGGCUAGAGUGCGGGAGGGGAAAGUGGAAUUCCUGGUGUAGCGGUGAAAUGCGUAGAUAUCAGGAGGAACACCUGUGGUGUAGACGGCUUUCUGGACCGUAACUGACGCUGAAACACGAAAGCGUGGGUAGCAAACAGGAUUAGAUACCCUGGUAGUCCACGCCCUAAACGAUGCACACUUGGUGUGGGUCAUUCAGUUGACCCGUGCCGGAGCUAACGCGUUAAGUGUGCCGCCUGGGGAGUACAGUCGCAAGGCUG
rnacentral:rRNA from 1 species